UUCGCCCAACCGGAAGCCUUGUGCAUAGCAGUCUGUCGUUAUUGGCAGGCGACGCUUGAUUGAUGCUGGGAGAAGCCCCCCCUCGCGGGACUUAACCAGCAGCCGUUAUGCCCAACAUUUCGGCCCACAGAUCAUCUUCAGGCGGUCUCCCUUGUCCGAGGGAUUAAGAUAUGACCGGUCCCACCUCGCAAUGGGUGGAAGCCAUGUUCCGUAGGUGGAACCUGCGGAAGGAUCAUUA
rnacentral:rRNA from 1 species